rnacentral:rRNA from 1 species
AUUGAACGCUGGCGGCAUGCUUUACACAUGCAAGUCGAACGGUAACAGGGUGCUUGCACCGCUGACGAGUGGCGAACGGGUGAGUAAUGCGUCGGAACGUGCCGAGUAGUGGGGGAUAACGCAGCGAAAGUUGUGCUAAUACCGCAUACGUACUGAGGUAGAAAGUGGGGGACCUUCGGGCCUCACGCUAUUCGAGCGGCCGACGUCUGAUUAGCUAGUAGGUGAGGUAAAGGCUCACCUAGGCGACGAUCGGUAGCGGGUCUGAGAGGAUGAUCCGCCACACUGGGACUGAGACACGGCCCAGACUCCUACGGGAGGCAGCAGUGGGGAAUAUUGGACAAUGGGCGGAAGCCUGAUCCAGCCAUGCCGCGUGUGUGAAGAAGGCCUUUUGGUUGUAAAGCACUUUAAGCGAGGAGGAGGCUACUAGUACUAAUACUACUGGAUAGUGGACGUUACUCGCAGAAUAAACACCGGCUAACUCUGUGCCAGCCGCCGCAGUAACAC